AAAACAUGUCUUUUAGAUAAUAAUUUAAAGUUUAAUCUGCCCACUGAUGAAAUAUUAAAGGGCUGCAGUAUAUUGACUGUACAAAGGUAGCAUAAUCAAUAGUCUUUUAAUUGAAGACUUGUAUGAAGGAUUUGAUGAAAUAUAAACUGUCUCUAAUUUAAUAAUAGAAAUUAAUUUUUUAGUUAAAAAGCUAAAAUUUAUUUAAAAGACGAGAAGACCCUAUAGAGUUUUAUAUAAAUUUUAUUAAAGAUUAUAUUUAUAAUUAAAAAUUAAAAGUGAAAUUUAUAUUUUAUUGGGGUGAUAAAAAAAUUAAAAUAACUUUUUUUUAUAUUAAACAAAAAUAAGUGAAAAAUUGAUCCAUAAUUAAUGAUUAAAAGAAAAAAUUACCUUAGGGAUAACAGCGUAAUUUUUUUUUUUAGUACAAAUAAGAAAAAGAGUUUGCGACCUCGAUGUUGGAUUAAGAUAAAAUUUAAAUGCAAAAGUUUAAAAUUUUGAUCUGUUCGAUCAUUAAAAUCUUACAUGAUCUGA
rnacentral:rRNA from 1 species